rnacentral:rRNA from 1 species
GACGAACGCUGGCGGCGUGCUUAACACAUGCAAGUCGAACGGAAAGGCCCUGCUUUUGUGGGGUGCUCGAGUGGCGAACGGGUGAGUAACACGUGAGUAACCUGCCCUUGUCUUUGGGAUAACUUCAGGAAACUGGGGCUAAUACCGGAUAGGAGCUCCUGCUGCAUGGUGGGGGUUGGAAAGUUUCGGCGGUUGGGGAUGGACUCGCGGCUUAUCAGCUUGUUGGUGGGGUAGUGGCUUACCAAGGCUUUGACGGGUAGCCGGCCUGGGAGGGUGACCGGCGACAAUGGGACUGCGAUAGGGCCCAGACUGCUACGGGAGGCAGCAGUGGGGAAUAUUGCACAAUGGGCGGAAGCCUGAUGCAGCAACGCCGCGUGCGGGAUGACGGCCUUCGGGUUGUAAACCGCUUUCGCAUGUGACGAAGCGUGAGUGACGGUAAUGGGUAAAGAAGCACCGGCUAACUACGUG